AUUCAACUGACAAGUUGCAAAUAGGACGAAACGCGCGUCAUAGAU
rnacentral:hammerhead_ribozyme from 1 species